rnacentral:lncRNA from 1 species
GACUGUCUGCAGGACAAUGACUGUCUGCUCUAUGGCCAUAGACAACCCAUGUCCUCCUUCUGGGCUUGCUUCAAGAGCAUCUUCUAUAUCCAUACAGAAACCGGCAGCAGCCGGACACAUCUGCUUGGUUUCGUGCUGUUUCUCUUUUUGGAAAUCUUGACCAUGCUCAGACCAAAUAUGUACUUCACGGCCCCUCUACAGGAGAAAGUGAUUUGGAGGAUAUUCCUUUUGGGUGCAGUGCUCUAGCCUCAGCUUCUCCUGGCUCGUCCGCACUGUCUACUGUCAUUCAGAGAAAGUCUCUCGGACUUUUUCCAAACUGUACUAUUCAGGGAUUGCUCCACUGCUCAUAAGGAGCUUCGUCCCCUGGCUCUGUUACUCCUUCUACUGCUCGCCACAGCCACGGCUCAUCUACUUCUCCAUCAUCUAUGUCCUGGGCAUCUCUGCCAUCAUUGUGACAGUGGGACCGGUUUGUCACUCCUAAGCACCGGCAGACAAGGGCAGGGGUGUUGCUGGGACUUGGCUUGAGCGGUAUUGUGCCCACCAUGCACUUUCCUAUUGCUGAGGGUUUCGUCAAGGCCACCACAGUGGGCCAGAUGGGCUGGUUCUUCCUCGUGGCUGUGAUGUACAUCACCAGAGCUGGCCUUUAUGCUGCUUAAAUUCCUGAGCGCUUCUUUCCUGGAAAAUUAGACAUAUGGUUCCAGUCUCAGCAGAUUUUCCAUGUCCUCAUGGUGACGGUGGCCUUUGUCCACUUCUGUGGGGUCUCCAACCUUCAGGAAUUCCAUUACAGCCGAGAAGGUGACUGCACUGAUGACUCCCUUCU